GGUCCCAAGGGUAUGGCUGUUCGCCAUUUAAAGUGGUACGCGAGCUGGGUUUAGAACGUCGUGAGACAGUUCGGUCCCUAUCUGCCGUGGGCGCUGGAGAACUGAGGGGGGCUGCUCCUAGUACGAGAGGACCGGAGUGGACGCAUCACUGGUGUUCGGGUUGUCAUGCCAAUGGCACUGCCCGGUAGCUAAAUGCGGAAGAGAUAAGUGCUGAAAGCAUCUAAGCACGAAACUUGCCCCGAGAUGAGUUCUCCCUGAGACUUAGAGUCUCCUGAAGGAACGUUGAAGACGACGACGUUGAUAGGCCGGGUGUGUAAGCGCAGCGAUGCGUUGAGCUAACCGGUACUAAUGAACCGUGAGGCUUAACCUUACAACGCCGAAG
rnacentral:rRNA from 1 species